rnacentral:rRNA from 1 species
AUUGAACGCUGGCGGCAGGCCUAACACAUGCAAGUCGAGCGGAGCGGCGGACGGGUGAGUAAUGCCUAGGAAUCUGCCUGGUAGUGGGGGAUAACGUCCGGAAACGGGCGCUAAUACCGCAUCCUACCAGAUGAGCCUAGGUCGGAUUGGCUAGGUGGUGGGGUAAAGGCCUACCAAGGCGACGAUCCGUACCUGGUCUGAGAGGAUGAUCAGUCACACGGGAACUGAGACACGGUCCAGACUCCUACGGGAGGAAGCAGUGGGGAAUAUUGCACAAGGGGCGAAAGCCUGAUACAGCCAUGCCGCGUGUGUGAAGAAGGUCUGCGGAUUGUAAAGCACUUUAAGUUGGGAGGCGUUACCAAAAGAAUAAGCACCGGCUAACUUCGUGCCAGCAGCCGCGGUAAUAC